CAGCAAAUUAAAUGUUCCUCUCUGCAAGUGUUAGACUGUUUUAUUGACGACUUUUUUUUAUAAAGCAAAGCUAGCUUCGGCUUAAUUCCUAUCCAAAUUAAUGAAAGUUUCCUUCAUUUAUGAGAUUCUCAAUCUCCUCCGCUGGUGUUAAAAUUAGGUUCCAUUCCCAAAUUUGAGAAAGGAGCAUUUCUCUGCCCAUAAUUCCACUAUCCAAUUACAAUAAAUUAUGCAAAAGAACUGUUGUUCUGGAAGAAACUGUGAAGAACAUCUGCCAACCCUAAGAGGUGACAGGUCUGACUGUGAUACGAUGUCUUAGGGUUCAGUCCACUUGGAAUUCUGUCUGAGUAUUCCACAGGUCACUACACAUCCCAGACAUUCUGGGCAGGUUGAGAGGAAGGACAAAAGAAAGGAAGGGAGGGAGGGAAGGAGGGCAAGAGUGAGGAAGAAAAAAAAUCUCCUCGAUGGGAAUAUGAUUUCACAGCACUGGUUUCCAAACAAGGCCAAUCACCAAGGGCGCAACCCUGAAAAGUUUCCAACAUUAGGCUGUUGUGCUGUGCUGAAAACCACCCAAGAGCUGUGCACCUUCUUUUUCAGGAGUCACACCAGAUGUCCUGUCCAAGGACUAACAGCGUCUAUUCCUGUAGGGCUCCAUCCAUAUGUGAGGAAGCGGAAGAGAGCAUUUCAGAGCUGGUUGGUCAACUGAGUGAUUGAAGAGAUCACAGAUGGUAGGAGGAGCAGUUGUGUGCUGCUAACCAUAGAGGUCUCCCCUGUCUACAGAAACCUAAUUGAACAGGUAAGAACAUGUUUGGAUAUGUGAGAGUGAGGUCGGAGGGGGCAGUGGGCUCUCUUUCCUCUUUGAAGCUCACAUGAUGUCCUCUGCGGAGUUGGGGAAGGUGGCAUGGAAAUACUAGUGUUUCUCAUCCACAGCUCUACUGACGUUUUGGCUGAAUAAUUCCAUGUUUGGGGGGCUUCCUGUCCCUUGUAGGAUGUUCAGUACCAUCCUUGGCCCGUACCUACUGGAUGCCCAUAGCAGACAUAUCCAUCGCCAUUUGUGACAACCAAAUUGGCUCCCAACACUGCCCAAUGUCCCCUGGGGGGCAAAAUUGCCCCAGACUGAGCACCACUGAAAUAGAUCUGAUGUUGAGAGAGCAUGAAAAAAAAAAUAUUAAGAGAAAUGAGAGAGGAAGAAAAAGAGCUCAUACAUGAGAGAGAAAAUGAGGAUGACAAUAAAUGAAUGGAAUCAGGUCUCA
rnacentral:lncRNA from 1 species